GGUGGGGGCGGUAUAUCAUUCGGGAGGCGUCCGAGUGAGGCGGAAAGAGUUCUCCGAGUCUCGUUUUCCGCAUCUGAGAACCUUAGAUUUUGUGGUGGAACCUGAGUCCAGAUGGGAGACAACACACCGGAUUCUCCAGGCAAGAAUACUGAAGUGGGUU